rnacentral:rRNA from 1 species
GAUGAACGCUAGCGGGAGGCCUAACACAUGCAAGCCGAGCGGUAGAGUCUCUUCGGAGACUUGAGAGCGGCGCACGGGUGCGGAACACGUGUGCAACCUGCCUUUAUCUGGGGGAUAGCCUUUCGAAGGGAAGAUUAAUACCCCAUAAUAUACUGGAUGGCAUCAUCUGGUAUUGAAAACUCCGGUGGAUAGAGAUGGGCACGCGCAAGAUUAGAUAGUUGGUGAGGUAACGGCUCACCAAGUCAGCGAUCUUUAGGGGGCCUGAGAGGGUGAUCCCCCACACUGGUACUGAGACACGGACCAGACUCCUACGGGAGGCAGCAGUGAGGAAUAUGGGACAAGGGGUGAGAGCCUGAUCCAGCCAUCCCGCGUGAAGGACGACGGCCCUAUGGGUUGUAAACUUCUUUUGUAUAGGGAUAAACCUAGAUACGUGUAUCUAGCUGAAGGUACUAUACGAAUAAGCACCGGCUAACUCCGUG